UGGGGAAUAUUGGACAAUGGGCGAAAGCCUGAUCCAGCGACGCCGCGUGGGUGAAGAAGGCCUGCGGGUUGUAAAGCCCUUUCGGUGGGGAUGAAAAGCCUCGAUCUAACACAUCGGGGUCUUGACCUAACCCAAGAAAGAAGCACCGGCUAACUCUGUGCCAGCAGCCGCGGUAAUACAGAGGGUGCGAGCGUUAAUCGGAAUUACUGGGCGUAAAGCGCGCGUAGGUGGCUAUGCAAGUCGGGUGUGAAAUCCCCGGGCUCAACCUGGGAACUGCAUUCGAGACUGCAUUGCUUGAGUAUGGGAGAGGGAAGUGGAAUUUCCGGUGUAGCGGUGAAAUGCGUAGAUAUCGGAAGGAACAUCAGUGGCGAAAGCGACUUCCUGGACCAAUACUGACACUCAAGUGCGAAAGCGUGGGGAGCAAACAGGAUUAGAUACCCCCGUAGUCC
rnacentral:rRNA from 1 species